rnacentral:rRNA from 1 species
GCUAAACGCGAAGAACCUUACCUGGCCUUGACAUGCUGAGAACUUUCCAGAGAUGGAUUGGUGCCUUCGGGAACGUCAGACACAGGUGCUGCAUGGCUGUCGUCAGCUCGUGUCGUGAGAUGUUGGGUUAAGUCCCGUAACGAGCGCGAACCCUUGUCCUUAGUUACCAGCACGUUAUGGUGGGCACUCUAAGGAGACUGCCGGUGACAAACCGGAGGAAGGUGGGGAAUGACGUCAAGUCAGUCAUGGCCCUUACGGCCAGGGCUACGACACGUGCUACAAUGGUCGGUACAAAGGGUUGCCAAGCCGCGAGGUGGAGCCAAUCCCGUAAAACCGAUCGUAGUCCGGAUCGCAGUCUGCAACGUCGACUGCGUGAAGUCGGAAUCGCUAGUAAUCGUG